GCCCGGAAUUUUAUGUGCGUUACACACAAUGCUACGAUGUUAGCGCUUCCGCUAGCAGUUACUCUGUCGACGCGUCAGACGUGUAUGCUUGCUAAGCGCUAUAUUUAGCUUUAGAAAAAGACGAAGAGUGCCAAAACAAAGCGCUCAGAAAACGAGAAAUUAUAAAAAGCAUGGGAACAUUUAAAACUAAACAAGGACAGCGCGCAUCCUCGAUGCUUCUGCACCGGAACAAAAACACUGCUCUGCAGCAGUGUUUUUAUGUAUACAGAUAAAUGGACAGCUUUGUCAUCAACACAUUGACAGAGUGGCAGCUGACAGACCUUGUAGAAAGAUUUAAAGAGGAGGGGAUUGAUGAGGAGAGUUUUCUUCUUUUAGAUGAGGCUACCAUCAACCAGUUGAUCCCAAGAGCUGGACCUAGGCUGAAGUUUCUCAAAAACUUUAGAGGUCUUGUACGUAAUUAGUCAGUGGACAUGUGAGAGACUCAGUUCUAUUCUAUUAUUUCUAUGUAAUAGUAUGGGAAUAUGGCAUAUACUUGCUUUAAGUGCAAAAAACUUAUUUCAGGGGGUAUCAAGAGUCUUUUUAUGCAUUUACGUGUAGUACACCAUCUAAACUCAGCAUCAACACAUUUCCAGUGUAGUGAAAAUGGUUGUGGUAGGACAUUUUCUUACAUGUGGUCUUUUAAAAGACACUUGGAAAAAGAGCAUGAAGAUGGAAAUGCUCUUGUUGACCCUUUUGAAGGUCCAGCCCCAUCUGCACAAAAAGUAGAAAUUUUGCAUGCUGAAAUGGAGCCAGCACAGCAAAAUGAGGAAGUUGAAGAGAAUUGGGAUGAACUAGAGCCAGAAGGCAUUACCAAUCAGGUGGCACUCUUUUUAGCCCAUCUUAGAUCCAAAUCUUCUGACAUAUUCAAACUUAAACUCUGUGGUACAUCAUGCCUCAAAUUUAAUCAGUGAUAUUGUCAGCAGACUGAAGUCAAAGACUAUUUCUUUAUU